rnacentral:tmRNA from 1 species
GGGGGCGAUCGGCUUCGACGUGGGUCGCGAACCCUCAGGUGCAUGCCGAGGCGCAGAUGACCUCGUAAAACCAGCUGCAAACAACUUAGUUGCCAACGACGACAACUACGCCCUAGCUGCUUAAAAACCAGCCUAGUGCCUUCCGCCCGACUCGUGCUUGUGCGACCGGAUCCGGGAGUCAUCCACACAAGCUCGCCGGACGGCUCGUCUGAGGCCCGAACGCUAAAACCUAAUCAGACUGGCUCUGUGUUUUCCCCGCCCGCCGGGUAGCUCAGAGUAA